AUGAAAAAUCUUAACAUCAGAGACAGGAAUGCAAGGAUUUCCAUCAAGCCAAUAUAUACAGAUCUGGAAGAUGAAACUGAGGGCCUGUUCGGCUCUCUACCGACUCCGCAGAAUUACAGGAUCUGCGGAGUGCCUACUUUCCAAUUCCGCUGUUUUAGCCCGCAGCUCCGCCAGCUCUGCGGAGCUGACUCCGGAGCGGAGAGAAUCCAAACACCCCCUGAAAAUAAGCAUAUCAAACCAAGGUCUACUGGUAAUUUGUGUAAGAUGGCAAAAAUGAAGCCUGUGUGCCUUGGGCUGUUCAUAUAUGUAACAUUCACUGAUGGCACAAGGGAAAUAGAAACCAAGUGCCAGACACGGGCCCACGAUCAGGAUAUUAAUUGGGUCAAGGUGUAA
rnacentral:rRNA from 1 species